rnacentral:tRNA from 1 species
GGGGGCUGUGGCUCAGUGGUAGGUCAUCCACUUGACACGUGAGAAGUCACAGGUCCAACCCCUGGCAUCUCCG